rnacentral:rRNA from 1 species
UAAGGAAUAUUGGACAAUGGAGGCAACUCUGAUCCAGCCAUGCCGCGUGAAGGAAUAAGGCCCUAUGGGUUGUAAACUUCUUUUAGACGGGACAAAACCCCUUUACGUGUAAAGGGUUGAUGGUACUGUCAGAAUAAGCAUCGGCUAACUUCGUGCCAGCAGCCGCGGUAAUACGAAGGAUGCAAGCGUUAUCCGGAAUUAUUGGGUUUAAAGGGUGCGUAGGCGGACUAAUAAGUCAGUGGUGAAAGCCUGCAGCUUAACUGCAGAAUUGCCAUUGAUACUGUUAGUCUUGAGUACAGUUGAGGUAGGCGGAAUGUGUCAUGUAGCGGUGAAAUGCUUAGAUAUGACACAGAACACCGAUUUCGAAGGCAGCUUGCUAAGCUGUAACUGACGCUGAGGCACGAAAGCGUGGGGAGCAAACA